AGAGUUUGAUCAUGGCUCAGAUUGAACGCUGGCGGCAGGCCUAACACAUGCAAGUCGAACGGUAACAGGAAGCAGCUUGCUGUUUUGCUGACGAGUGGCGGACGGGUGAGUAAUGUCUGGGAAACUGCCUGAUGGAGGGGGAUAACUACUGGAAACGGUAGCUAAUACCGCAUAACGUCGCAAGACCAAAGAGGGGGACCUUAGGGCCUCUUGCCAUCGGAUGUGCCCAGAUGGGAUUAGCUAGUAGGUGGGGUAACGGCUCACCUAGGCGACGAUCCCUAGCUGGUCUGAGAGGAUGACCAGCCACACUGGAACUGAGACACGGUCCAGACUCCUACGGGAGGCAGCAGUGGGGAAUAUUGCACAAUGGGCGCAAGCCUGAUGCAGCCAUGCCGCGUGUAUGAAGAAGGCCUUCGAGUUGUAAAGUACUUUCAGCGGGGAGGAAGGGAGUAAAGUUAAUACCUUUGCUCAUUGACGUUACCCGCAGAAGAAGCACCGGCUAACUCCGUGCCAGCAGCCGCGGUAAUACGGAGGGUGCAAGCGUUAAUCGGAAUUACUGGGCGUAAAGCGCACGCAGGCGGUUUGUUAAGUCAGAUGUGAAAUCCCCGGGCUCAACCUGGGAACUGCAUCUGAUACUGGCAAGCUUGAGUCUCGUAGAGGGGGGUAGAAUUCCAGGUGUAGCGGUGAAAUGCGUAGAGAUCUGGAGGAAUACCGGUGGCGAAGGCGGCCCCCUGGACGAAGACUGACGCUCAGGUGCGAAAGCGUGGGGAGCAAACAGGAUUAGAUACCCUGGUAGUCCACGCCGUAAACGAUGUCGACUUGGAGGUUGUGCCCUUGAGGCGUGGCUUCCGGAGCUAACGCGUUAAGUCGACCGCCUGGGGAGUACGGCCGCAAGGUUAAAACUCAAAUGAAUUGACGGGGGCCCGCACAAGCGGUGGAGCAUGUGGUUUAAUUCGAUGCAACGCGAAGAACCUUACCUGGUCUUGACAUCCACGGAAGUUUUCAGAGAUGAGAAUGUGCCUUCGGGAACCGUGAGACAGGUGCUGCAUGGCUGUCGUCAGCUCGUGUUGUGAAAUGUUGGGUUAAGUCCCGCAACGAGCGCAACCCUUAUCCUUUGUUGCCAGCGGUCCGGCCGGGAACUCAAAGGAGACUGCCAGUGAUAAACUGGAGGAAGGUGGGGAUGACGUCAAGUCAUCAUGGCCCUUACGACCAGGGCUACACACGUGCUACAAUGGCGCAUACAAAGAGAAGCGACCUCGCGAGAGCAAGCGGACCUCAUAAAGUGCGUCGUAGUCCGGAUUGGAGUCUGCAACUCGACUCCAUGAAGUCGGAAUCGCUAGUAAUCGUGGAUCAGAAUGCCACGGUGAAUACGUUCCCGGGCCUUGUACACACCGCCCGUCACACCAUGGGAGUGGGUUGCAAAAGAAGUAGGUAGCUUAACCUUCGGGAGGGCGCUUACCACUUUGUGAUUCAUGACUGGGGUGAAGUCGUAACAAGGUAACCGUAGGGGAACCUGCGGUUGGAUCACCU
rnacentral:rRNA from 1 species